rnacentral:rRNA from 1 species
GAUGAACGCUGGCGGUAUGCUUAACACAUGCAAGUCGAACGGACUCUUCGGAGUUAGUGGCGGACGGGUGAGUAACGCCUGAGAAUCUGGCUUUGGGUUCGGGACAACCACUGGAAACGGUGGCUAAUACCGGAUGUGCCGAGAGGUAAAAGAGAAAUUGCCUGAAGAUGAGCUCGCGUCUGAUUAGCUAGUUGGUGAGGUAAAGGCUCACCAAGGCAGCGAUCAGUAGCUGGUCUGAGAGGAUGACCAGCCACACUGGGACUGAGACACGGCCCAGACUCCUACGGGAGGCAGCAGUGGGGAAUUUUCCGCAAUGGGCGAAAGCCUGACGGAGCAAUACCGCGUGAGGGAAGAAGGCUCUUGGGUUGUAAACCUCUUUUCUUAGGGAAGAACAAAAUGACGGUACCUAAGGAAUCAGCAUCGGCUAACUCCGUG